AAGGUUUUAAGUUAAGUUAAACUAAUAUCCUUCAAAGUUAUAAAUAAAGAAACUAUCUUUAGGCCUUA
rnacentral:tRNA from 1 species